CCUACGGGAGGCAGCAGUGGGGAAUAUUGGACAAUGGGCGCAAGCCUGAUCCAGCCAUGCCGCGUGAGUGAUGAAGGCCCUAGGGUUGUAAAGCUCUUUCGCCAGGGACGAUAAUGACGGUACCUGGAGAAGAAGCCCCGGCUAACUUCGUGCCAGCAGCCGCGGUAAU
rnacentral:rRNA from 1 species